GUUUAGGACACCCUGAACUAUAUUACUGACAUAAACAUCAGUGUCCAUCCAUCUAUCCUGAUCAUUAAUGUACAUAUUUCCUAUCCUGCCAUGAGAAGAGUGACCUCUCUGUAAAUAGCAUAUAUAUAUAUAUAUAUAUAUAUAUAUAGAAAACAAUAAUAUAAACUCAACACGCAACAAUUUCAGAUUUGACCGAGUUAACAGUAUAUACACGGAAAUCAGUCAAUUGAAGAAAAGAAAAAAAGGAUUAGUCCCUAAUCUAUGGAUGUCAUAUGACUGGGAAUACAGAUAUGCAUCUGUCACAGAUAAAAGGCAUUGGAUCAGAAAACCAGUCAGUAACCACCAUUUACACGCCUCAUGCAGCUGUGUAACGUCGUCUCACACCUUUUCAAUGGCUGUGCCGAGUUGCUGGAUAUUGGCGGGAACUGGAACACGCUGUCGUAGACGUCGAUACAGAGCAUCCCAAACAUGCUCGACGGGUGACAUGUCUGGGAUACAGAGCAUCCCAAACAUGCUUGACGGGUGACAUGUCUGGGAUACAGAGCAUCCCAAACAUGCUCGACGGGUGACAUGUCUGGUGAGUAUGCAGGCGAUGGAAGAACUGGGACAUUUUCAGCUUCCAAGAAUUGUGUACAGAACCUUGCGAAAUGGGGCUGUACAUUAUCAUGCUGAAACAUGAGGUGAUGGUGGUGGAUAAAUGACACGACAAUGGGCCUCAGGAUCUCGUCACAGUAUGUUUUGUGCAUUAAAAUUGCCAUCUAUAAAAUGCCAUUGUGUUUAGUCCGUAGCUUAUGCGUGUCCAUACCAUAACUCCACCAUGGGGCACUGGCACUCAGAAAACCUCUCACGUGUGGUGUUGUGUUAUGAGGCCGGUUGGACGUACUGCCAAAUUCUCUAAAACAACGGAGGCAGUUUAUAGUAGAGAAAUUAACAUUGAAUUCUCUGGCAACAUUUCUGCAGUCAACAUGCCAAUUGCACACUCCCUCAAAACAUGACAUUGUGUUGUGUGAAAAAAACCAGCACAUUUUAGAGUGGCCUUUUGCCCCACAGCACAAGGUGCACCUGUGUAAUGAUGCUGUUGAAUCAGCUUUUUUAUAUGCCACACCUUUCAGGUGGAAGGAUUAUCUUGGCAAAGGAGAAAUGCUCACUAACAGAGAGGUAAACAAAUAUGCCACAACAUUUGAGAGAAACAAGCUUUUUGUUUAUAUGGAACAUUUCUGGGAUCUAUUUCAGCUCAUGAAAACACUUUAUAUGUGUUUAUAUUCUCAUUCAGUGUAAAAAUGAAUAUGACACUUCAUUAAUAAAUCCACAAUGAUGAAAA
ensembl:lncRNA